GUGAUUCGAACUGCUUUAGAGAGAAGUAGCGCGUAAUGUUUGUUCGUCAAGAGGAAUAGUGCGCGCAAUGCGCAACAUGGAGCAGCGCCGAUGGAUCGCAAGAAACAUGCGCAGAUAUUUUCCACAUAGUGAUGGCAGAAUCGAGUCCGUAUGAUUCUCCGACUCGAGUCUUCGCAGACGUUUCUGGCCGAUGUCGUGAAAUGUCGCAGAACAAGACUCAAGAUCCGUCUUCUGCGAUGUUACGAGGGCACUGCCUGCAUGUCAA